rnacentral:rRNA from 1 species
UACGGGGGGAGCAAGCGUUGUUCGGAUUUACUGGGCGUAAAGGGCGCGUAGGCGGCCACCGCAAGUCGGUUGUGAAAUCUCUGGGCUUAACCCAGAAAGGUCAACCGAUACUGCGGGGCUAGAGUGCAGAAGGGGCAACUGGAAUUCUCGGUGUAGCGGUGAAAUGCGUAGAUAUCGAGAGGAACACCUGCGGCGAAGGCGGGUUGCUGGGCUGACACUGACGCUGAAGCGCGAAAGCUAGGGGAGCGAACGGG